rnacentral:rRNA from 1 species
AUACGAAGGGGGCUAGCGUUGUUCGGAAUUACUGGGCGUAAAGCGUACGUAGGCGGAUUAGUAAGUUAGGGGUGAAAUCCCAGGGCUCAACCCUGGAACUGCCUCUAAAACUGCUAGUCUCGAGAUCGUGAGAGGUGAGUGGAAUUCCGAGUGUAGAGGUGAAAUUCGUAGAUAUUCGGAGGAACAUCAGUGGCGAAGGCGGCUCACUGGCACGAUACUGACGCUGAGGUACGAAAGUGUGGGGAGCAAACAGGAUUAGAAACCCUAGUAGUCC